rnacentral:rRNA from 1 species
GACGAACGCUGGCGGCGUGCUUAACACAUGCAAGUCGAACGGUGAAGCGCCUUCCUUUUUGGUGGGUGUGGAUGAGUGGCGAACGGGUGAGUAACACGUGAGUAACCUGCCCCCUUCUUCUGGAUAACCGCAUGAAAGUGUGGCUAAUACGGGAUAUUCUGGGUCUGUCGCAUGAUGGGUCUGGGAAAGAUAUUGUUUCGGUGGGGGAUGGGCUCGCGGCCUAUCAGCUUGUUGGUGGGGUGAUGGCCUACCAAGGCGGUGACGGGUAGCCGGCCUGAGAGGGUGGACGGUCACACUGGGACUGAGACACGGCCCAGACUCCUACGGGAGGCAGCAGUGGGGAAUAUUGCACAGUGGGCGCAAGCCUGAUGCAGCGACGCCGCGUGAGGGAUGGAGGCCUUCGGGUUGUGAACCUCCUUCGCCAGUGAAGCAGGCCUGCCUCGUUUGUGGGUGGGUUGACGGUAGCUGGAUAAGAAGCGCCGGCUAACUACGUG